rnacentral:rRNA from 1 species
UACCUUCCUACUUGGAUACCUGUGGUAAUUCUAGAGCUAAUACAUGCUACAAACCCCAACUAAAGAAGGGGCGUAUUUAUUAGAUAAAAAACCAAUGCCCUCCGGGGCUCACUGGUGAUUCAUAAUAACUUAACGAAUCGCAUGGCCUUGCGCCGGCGAUGGUUCAUUCAAAUUUCUGCCCUAUCAACUUUCGAUGGUAGGAUAGUGGCCUACCAUGGUUUCUACGGGUAACGGGGAAUUAGGGUUCUAUUCCGGAGAGGGAGCCUGAGAAACGGCUACCACAUCCAAGGAAGGCAGCAGGCGCGCAAAUUACCCAAUCCCGACACGGGGAGGUAGUGACAAUAAAUACUGAUGGAGAGCUCUUUUGGGUUUUCUAGUUGGAAUGAGUACAAUUUAAAUUUCUUAACGAGGAACAAUUGGAGGGCAAGUCUGGUGCCAGCAGCCGCGGUAAUUCCAGCUCCAAUAGCGUAUAUUAAAGUUGUUGCAGUUAAAAAGCUCGUAGUUGAAACUCAGGCCUGGCUGGCCGGUCCGCCUCACCGCGAGCACUGGUUCGGCCGGGCUUUUUCCUUCUGGGGAGCCGCAUGCCCUUCACUGGGUGCGUUGGGGAACCAGGACUUUUACUUUGAAAAAAUUAGAGUGUUCAAAGCAGGCAUAUGCUCGGAUACAUUAGCAUGGAAUAAUAGAAUAGGACGUGUGGUUCUAUUUUGUUGGUUUCUAGGACCGCCGUAAUGAUUAAUAGGGAUAGUCGGGGGCAUCAGUAUUCAAUUGUCAGAGGUGAAAUUCUUGGAUUUAUUGAAGACUAACUACUGCGAAAGCAUUUGCCAAGGAUGUUUUCAUUAAUCAGUGAACGAAAGUUAGGGGAUCGAAGACGAUCAGAUACCGUCGUAGUCUUAACCAUAAACUAUGCCGACUAGGGAUCGGACGGUGUUACUAUAUUGACCCGUCCGGCACCUUACGAGAAAUCAAAGUUUUUGGGUUCUGGGGGGAGUAUGGUCGCAAGGCUGAAACUUAAAGACAUUGACGGAAGGGCACCACCAGGCGUGGAGCCUGCGGCUUAAUUUGACUCAACACGGGGAAACUCACCAGGUCCAGACACAUUAAGGAUUGACAGAUUGAGCGUUCUUUCAUGAUCAUGUGGGUGGUGGU